UACGUAGGGUGCAAGCGUUAAUCGGAAUUACUGGGCGUAAAGCGUGCGCAGGCGGUUAUGUAAGACAGAGGUGAAAUCCCCGGGCUCAACCUGGGAACUGCCUUUGUGACUGCAUAGCUAGAGUACGGUAGAGGGGGAUGGAAUUCCGCGUGUAGCAGUGAAAUGCGUAGAUAUGCGGAGGAACACCGAUGGCGAAGGCAAUCCCCUGGGCCUGUACUGACGCUCAUGCACGAAAGCGUGGGGAGCAAACAGG
rnacentral:rRNA from 1 species